UGAGGAAUAUUGGUCAAUGGGCGCAAGCCUGAACCAGCCAUGCCGCGUGAAGGAUGAAUGCCCUAUGGGUUGUAAACUUCUUUUGUAUGGGAAGAAACCUUCUUACGUGUAAGAAGCUGACGGUACUGUACGAAUAAGCAUCGGCUAACUCCGUGCCAGCAGCCGCGGUAAUACGGAGGAUGCAAGCGUUAUCCGGAUUUAUUGGGUUUAAAGGGUGCGUAGGCGGGAUAGCAAGUCAGUGGUGAAAGCCUACAGCUUAACUGUAGAACUGCCAUUGAUACUGUUAUUCUUGAGUAUAGUUGAAGUGGGUGGAAUGUGUGGUGUAGCGGUGAAAUGCUUAGAUAUCACACAGAACGCCAAUUGCGAAGGCAGCUCACUAAGCUAUCACUGACGCUGAGGCACGAAAGCGUGGGGAUCAAACAGG
rnacentral:rRNA from 1 species